rnacentral:rRNA from 1 species
GACGAACGCUGGCGGCGUGCUUAACACAUGCAAGUCGAACGAGUGGCGAACGGGUGAGUAACACGUGGGUGAUCUGCCUUGCACGUCGGGAUAAGCUUGGGAAACUGGGUCUAAUACCGGAUAGUGCAAGAUGAGCUGGCGGCUUAUCAGCUUGUUGGGUGGGUAAUGGCUACCAAGGGGCGAAGGGUAGCCGGCCUGGGAGGGUGUACGGCGACAUUGGGACUGAGAGACGGCGCAGACUCCUACGGGGGGCAGCAGGGGGGAAUAUUGCACAAUGGGCGGAAGCCUGAGGCAGCGGCGCCGCGUGGGGGAUGAAGGCCUUGGGGGUGGAAACUGCUUUCGACAGGGACGCGGUACCUGUAUAAGAAGCACCGGCUAACUACGUGCCAGCAGCCGCGGUAAUAC